CCUCCUUUCUUGGCACUUUUGCGUCUGUCGGUAUGCAUAUGUGUAUGUGAUGGAGGAAUAUUAACGUCCAGUGCUAUGUCUUCGGUGCCAGAAUGUGAACAGUCUUCUGGUCCUAUCCUCAAUCACUGGCACAUUC